UUUAUUGCUAUGUGUAAACUGCUUGCAACGGAACCCAACGGAUGUAUCGCAUAUGCCCGUCAGAUAUCAGAUAAUGAAGUAGAUGGGCCUACACUUCUGCAGAUGGCUGAAAGAAUGAUGAAAGCCGAGCCCCUGUCAGUCAAAUAACCCCAGCAGCCCAACC